ensembl:snoRNA
AUCCUUUUGUGGUGCAUGGGCAAGAAGCUUGGUUCUUUAUACUCAAAUGUGAGAUAUGCCACCUUCAAGUAUUAUUAUAAUAGUGACACACUAUCUGUCUGACU